rnacentral:sRNA from 2 species
ACAUCAAUUAUCUGCCGCCAGUUCAGAUCUACUGUGCAGGAAAACACAGCGGAAAUACAGUGAAUGGCUCCAAGAGUGUCACGAAAAUAUUGACCGACUGUAAUUCUUAUGAGGAAUGAGGCUAAUGUUUUACGUAGAUCGAUCUGACUUGACUCAGAGCUGCUCGUAAACUGGCAACUUCGGUGUUGAACAAUAACAAAUGGAGAGUCAUUCCUCCUCUUCUCUUUUGGCCAUAUCAAAGAAUCGAAACGAACAAUACCGACUCUCCUGGUAACUUUGUUCCCGUUGAUGCCUCUCUGAAGCGGGAGUAAGGCGGGGAAGCAAAAUAAUUCUUCCAGUGUCUGUGAAGGAAAGAAAGAACUGAUUCUCUCUUCAACGCUGCCUUGCCAACCUGCUUGCCGCCAUUUGUGCGAUAUCGCUGGGCUAGUAAUAGUGUGAUUGAGAAAAUGGGAACACCCAGCCAACUGCAUGUCGAGAGCAAGAAUUACGCCUUAUAUGCACAGCGCUUCUUAGCGUUGAAAUUCUGUCUAGGGCACAAGGCUCAGUCGAUAUGGAUUUCGAACGGCUGGACAUAUAUCAGAUAAUUUUUACCUUUGAUAAAUUCAAUGCACAAUCAUAGCUCAGUCCUGUGUAAAAAAUUCGUGCAUAGAAUACGAGUCUUAUCUGCUCGAUACAACGUGGGAAUAUUGAAUGUACCAGCAGAUAAUCGUGAAACAUACCCGCUCAAGACUGGUGUAAAACGUAGAGG